ensembl:snRNA U6 U6 spliceosomal RNA
GUGUUCACUUUGGCAGCACAUAUACUACAACUGGAACAAUAUAGAAAAGAUUAACAUGGCCCCUGUGCAAGGAUAACACACAAAUUUGUGAAGCAUUUCAUAUUUUA